AAAUACAAGGAUGGGAAAAAGCCAGUAUAUUUUAAAGGGAACUUAGAACAAGGGUAGGGAAUUAAAUAUGCAUAUUUAUACUGCCACCUUAAUCCAGAGCUUCAAAUAUUACUAUACUGUUUGCUUCCUACUUAUAAUUGAUCCUUUAUUCCUUUAUAAUGAUCUUCAAUAAAUUUUAUAAAUGGAAUCAAAGUAUUUUCUCAGGCAACUGUAUUUUUCGAAUAGGGUUUAAUAACCACCAGGAGUUCUGAAGUUGAUUUAAUUAGUGAAAUCAGCUUUCUUCCUUCUACCCUUAAGCCUAAUUUAGGGGUGUGUCACUGCAGGACAGCUGUUCAUAAUGGUCCUUGGUGAUGCUGGCAUUAGAAUGUCCCUUAUUAAAAUGAGAUGUACUGAUGUGUAAUCUGCUACAUGAAUGACUCCAUUUCUCACACUCUAGUCAUUUGAGGGAUAAAGCAAGGUUAAAGUUCCUUAUUCUCCGCUCCUUUAUAAACUGGCAGUUAAGUUUAUGCAUACAUGUAUUACUAGGUAAUUUAUAUAACAAAAAGGUAAUUAUGUAAAUAUUAGAUGACAAUAUUAAAUAUUUAAUAAUCCAAUAUGCCAGUAGUAGUUGAUCAUACAUAGCCAAAGACAUCCUCUCAGCCUAUGAGGUUGCCACUUAGUAGCCUACACUAUAUAGAGGAGGAAAAAAGUGGUUUAACGCACAAAAUGGGAUGUUCUCCAGGUUAAAUGAGUUUGUGCUCUUCAAUUAACCACCUAUGCCUGGGACUGAAAUAAGCUCCAUCUGUUAGAUUGCCUAUUAUGUGCAAUUACUCGCACAUUCGUAAUUCAAUCCAGUCUAAACAUUUUUUGACAUACAUUGAAGCAGAUACUGAUAAACAGGAUUUGAUGCUAACUAGCCAGUUGGCAAAGAAAUGAAUAAUAGCUAGAUGAAAUCACUUCCCUCCAUAAGCAUAAAUGGUGAGAAUGGAAAUAUCCAGGCGUGGUCUGCAAGGUUAUCUUCAGCCAUGAUGAUUUACUAUCAGCAGUAAGUGACUUAGGCUAAAGGAAUAUUGGAUUUCCUAAGUACUUUAAGAUACGCUUUCAGAAGCAGGGAAAAAGCCAAAGUGUCAGUUCCAUUAAAAUAAUUACAUCUCAAGUACACCCUUACUUUUACCUAAAGGCUUAAGAUACUAGCAUUUUUUCAUAUCUUUAAUGCUCCUGAAUUUUUAUAAUCUGUUAGGUAAAUUGACAUUUCAUUAUAUAUGCUAUUUGUAGAAUAAAAUAACAGUAUAAUUUUUAAAUCAAUAUAUACAGUACGUAGAGCAAUCUCUAAGAGGAGCCUGAGUUAUUGCAAAUGUAUGAGCUAUUUCCACGGAGGAAAAAGAUGGAAAGCCCUUUCCCAUUUGCAUUUAUAAAGCCUGCGUGACUUCUUUAAAUAUAUACACUGGUGCCAACAGAGCCAUCAGAAAUCAAUAAAUCACAUUCUCAUGUGCUGUAAAAUGUCUGACACACACAUUCAUUUUCCUAGUCCAAAAUUCUCUGCAAAAGGGACUGUGUAAAUGUUCCAUUUUAGUUUAAUGACAUUCUCCACAGUUAAAAUUAUGUGCAUUAUUGCCAGUGAGUGAAAAAACCUGAAGAGCACAAAGCUAGAUAGGAUUUUAAAGAGCCUACACAGUACAUAUCCUUCAGCAGCCAGUCAUUUAACAGACCACAGACACACAGAUAUGAAUGCAGAACAAAAUUGGGAGAUUAGUAAGAAUGGAUUGAAAUGCUGCAAUUACCAUUUGGACAAAAAAAAUAAUAGGCAUAAUUUAUUUAGAAGCAGCUGGGGGAGGGUCUUGUAAGUAUCUGGAGAGACAGCCCUGAUAGCCCCAAUACCACCAAAUGGAGGCAGAGAGGAACAUCACUUAAAAAUGAUACAGAUGACAGAAUUGACAACAACCUAUUCAUCAGUGAUGUUCAAUACGAAAGUGUAAUAAAAACUUAAAUAUGACUCCACUUUAGUUGACAUUUAUUCCACCAGCUGCCACAUAUUUUUAAAAGGUCACAAAAUUGCUCUAUGUAGACAGUUUAUAAAGUACAAAUUCUUAAAGAAAGGAGGGAUCUGCUAUGUAUAAUCAAGAAAGUUCUAAAAAUUCUCCAAGCACAUCUUGCAGAGAGCCAUGUACAAAAGCAUGUCUGGCUACAACCCAAAGCACUGAAUUUAUUAAGCCAACAUUCCCACAAGGGGACUGAAUGAAGAACUAGCUACAAUUCUACCUGUUCACUAGCACUGACCAAUGCUGCUCUGACCCCUUGGUUUCUUUGUAUUUGAUCUCUGAACCGAAAUGCUGUGGGUUUUGACUCAUGUGUUUACCAAAAUCUGAUCAUAUUUGAAGCAUGUUAUUUUGAGGCUCUAUGACAUUUCAUUCAUAACAUAUCUUCCCUCCUUUGAACUCACAUUUUCCUCUCCCUGAGAUGUCCACUUACUUAAGCCCUUCUGACCUUACUUUUCUCCCUAUCCAGCCUGGACUCCAUAAUCAACCACUCCAAUAAGCUGCCCACAAGUCUCCUAAAACCACUCAGCUCCUUCAAUUUGAGCCUCUCCGACACAUCUAUUAUCAAGCUAAGUGCACAAAUAUUUAGCAUCGUUGGGGUGAAAAACACAUAAGUUGACCAACUGUGUCCACUGCCACCUAACCUCAAAAGGGGCCUCAACGCUGCUCAGCAACCACAGUGUUCCCAGGAUGAAUCCAUUGGAGAAUCCACCAAGUGGCUUUCCAAAGCCUUUUUACUCUCCUGAAACCUCUAACCCUCUAGUUUCCGAACAGACAAAUAUACCAUCACCCUCACUUUCCACUGCACUCUUCACAUUCAGUUAUUUCUUCACUCCUUUUUCCUGCUUCUCUUCUCUCUGAUAUCAAAAAUCAACACAAUUUUUCUAAACCAGCUUCUUCACUAUAGUCCCCAACCCUUCCCAUCUAUUCUAAAACUUUGGUCAAUAAAUCAAAUCAUCUCUCUGCUGUCUUCAAUUUUUCCCGUCAACUGCCUCAAUUUUUAGGACAAAAACAUGUUUAAGUCUACCUUAGCUUAAAAAUGUACCAAUCCUUUGCUAUUUUCAAAUGCAUAAUAAACACUGCCUGAAAAGUGUAUUCAAUUCCUCCCUCCGCUCCAAAUGCAAUUACCAAGUCUUGAUGAUUUAAUUUCUAAAAUGUCUGCAUGGAACUGAAUUUUGCCCCCCUAAAAUUCCUAUGUUGAAGCCCUAACCCCCAAUGUGACUGUAUUCAGAGACGGGGCCUUUAAUGAGGUAAGUGAGCAUAAAUGAGGUCACAAUGGCUAGGCCCUAAUCCAAUCUGACUGGUGUUUUACAAAAAGAGGAAGGGACGGCAGGGAUGCAGCCACACAGACAAAAGGCCAUGUGAGGACAAAUGAGAAGACGGCGUUCUGGAGGCCAAGGAUAGAGGCUUUAGGAGAAUCCAAGCAUGUCAGCACCUUGAUCCUGGACUUGAAGCCUCUAGAAGUGCACAGAAUCUGAAUCUAAUCACAAGGAAACAUCACAUGAACUCAAACUGGCUUACAAUCUUCAAAAGUGUCAAAAUCAUGAAAGUCAAGGGAAGACUGAAGAAUUAUUACAGAAGAAAGGAGACUAAAGAGAUAUGACAACUAAAUGCAAUGACAAAGUCUGUACUCGAUCUUGUUGCUAAAAGUGACAUUAUUGAGAUAAGUGGCUAAACUUGAAUAGAGCCUAAGACUCACAUGGUAAUAGUGAUCACUGUUAAUUUCCUGAUCUUGACUGGUUGCAUUGUGAUUAUGUAAGAGAAUGUCCUUGUUUGUAGAAAAAACCUUAAAGUCACAAUAUAUUUGGGGCGGGAGGGAAGUGAAUGGAUAAUUAGCCUUGAAACUUACUCUCCAGUGUAUCUUCAAAUUCUCAGAAAGUUUAUGAUUAUUUCAACAUUAAAAAAAAGAAAAAGAAGACAGAAAGCAUAGCUCCUCCUGAUGCAGGAGUCCAUAUAUGGGUUAGCCUCAUGGGAGCAAAGCAGAGUUAAGGAGGCUGAAGGCAGGAUCUAGAGGAACAAAGGAAAGACAUCCUACUGGCUCCCCAAUGACCUCCUAAUGUCCAUUUGAUACUAUUGCCUGUGCAUAAUCUCCACAUUGAUAAUCCCUCCUGGAUUUGCUAUUUUCUAUCUAUUCCCUGGCUCCUUCCCAUAUUCUUUCUUAUCAUAUUCUCUUACAAAUAUCUGUGUUCCUCUAGGAUGACUAUGAUACCCGCAGUCUCAUCAAAUCCCACAGUUGACAUAAUAAUCUAGGUAGAUUUUAUCACUAACUCCAUCUUCUCCAGUUUCAAAACCCGAAAAUACAAUCAUUUCUGGACACUUCAUGUAGUAGAAGCAUCUCAACCCAACACAUUAAAACCAAACUCAGUAUCUACCCCACUACAGUAGGUACUAUUAAUUGCCUACCAAGCAUCUCUCCCUCCCCAUAUCCCAACGCAUCUCUAACAGAAUUCCCCCAAAAACAGAAUUCUAAAGGAUCCCUGACCUCUACCACAGCGUACCAUUUUGCUUCAGGAGAUGGUGAGUACUCUAAGGUUCAAAAGUAGGCCUGGUUGCCUUAAACCAAUGUGCAUAUUCCAUUUACUCAGCUAGAGUCAUUGUUUAAGAAGUGGUCAUGAAGCUGACUACUGAGGGUUACCAUAAACAUUCAAUAAGAACAUGGUUAGCCUUCAACCUUGUUCCCAACACAGACAGAGAUGAAAAGAAGUUAAUCUCGUUAAUUUGCUGUUUUCUUAACUUGAGGGAUGACUCAAGGGUCACAAGGAUUUAGGAGCAUGUUUUGCAGAAGAAAAAGAAUACCUUUAAGGAAGUUACAACCACCAGAUAACCCGCCCCCAGCUACUGCACCCAGAUGACUGGUUGUCCAAGGGCUUAUCUGGAUUGAAAGAAAAGGACUUCCCUUUGUUUCUCCAAAACUCCUCCUCACAAGCCCCUUAGCUCUACAAAGACUCCAAUUUCUUCUUUUGUUAAGGCAGAUUUGAGAGAACCUAUCCUCCCACCUUUUCAUUUUGGCCAACUGGAAUAAAUCUUUCUCCAUCUCCAGUGUAGGUGUCUCAGUGAUUGGCUUACUGUGCAUACAAACUGGUAAUUAAGAGGCUCAGUAUCAGUCAUGUGAUCUAAGUAGUACCAUUAGCGUGAAUCACAGGUCUUUUCUUUGAAAUACAGGGACAGAAGUAUUUUCCCCAUGAAUGUGAGCCAAGAGGCAAGCACCCAUGUUUUGAUUCAGGCAGCCAUCCUAUCACAAAGAGGUUUAGGUUAGGAUAGUGCCAACAACAAAAGAGAAGAGCUUUUAAAUUAAUUUAUUUAAAAUAAUAAUUAAAUGAGUCCUUGAUAAUAACUGAAUUCCAGGACCAACAACCAGAAGUCCAUUCUAACCUCUAUUUUCUAAUUACCUGAGCCAAUAAAUCCCCUUUAUGUUUAAGUCAGUUUGAGUUUGAUUUUCUGUUACUUGAAAUAUAAUGGUGGAGAGUAAAAUUAAAUAUAAAACUAGAUGUGGCAAUGUUAUAAAACAACGAGGAGUAUGUAAAAAAAAUCUAAUCUAAGAUAAACAGACCUCUAAAAAAGAAAGAAAAGUACAAAUACAGAAAAACAAAAUACCAGACAGGCUGGCUUAAUGACAGUUGGCACUAGCAAGGUAAAUGGGAAACCAGCUUCCCAUAUUUUAAAGAUGUAAUAAUGGAAUGAAGCUCAUCUUAUUAUGGCCCAGAGUAGGAGGCCCUGUAGGGCUGCUUCAGGGGAGAAAUCAGGCAGAAACAGGGUAGUCAAAGAAAGGAAAUGAGAAAGGUGGGAAUUUCAGAUUUAGUAAAAAUAGGUUAAGACAAGCUUUCAUACAAGUAAAAUUCUUAGGUAUGUCACAUAAUUAUAGUACCUUCCAGUGGCUCAAAUAAAUCUAUAUAAUCAGAAUCACAUUUCCAUAUUCCAGGUUCAUGUUCCAGGGCUGGGGCAUGGGCCAUGCCUUUUCUAGUCAUUCUGGCCCAGAAAUUGGUGGUAUACAUCCACAUUUGGAUAUUUAUAAGCUGGGCUGAAACAGCAGCAGUUUGGGUAGCUUGUUGCAUCAAGUCGCCUGUCCCUUUCUGCUAGGAGAGAGGGUUGAGCUCACCUCCAGCAGGGCAGAGACAGAGAGAGCUCUAAAUUUCUUGGUAGCAAAUGCUGAUAGGCUCACAGAGCCUUUCUGUCCUCCCAAGUCACCCUAGAUAAGAUCUCCAGUUGCCUUCUAGACCUUUUACAACCCCAUCCCACAGGCAAUCUGUCAUUUAUUCCUACUCAUCUGGGUUGAAAAAUAUGCCUGGAAUUCAGUGCCUUCUUUUCAUUUCCAAGGCCAAUGUCCAAGAUCAGACCCUCAUCUCAUAUCUCAACUACUGCAAUUGUCUCUAACCCAGUCUCACAGGGUCUCAUCUUUCUGCUGUCCAAUCCAUCAUUCCCACGGCUACUGACUCCUAAGAGAAAACAGAGACUGAAUUGUAUUUAUCCUUUGUAUUUAUCCUUCUUUCCCUCACCUAUGUCUAGGCACUAAAACAACUGUUUAAAUUAUUCUAUGCAUGCCAUUUCUCAUGUGAAAACCUCUCUGAUGGUACCAGCUGGUUUCAGAAAGUGUUCAAAGAGUUUAGUCUACAGCCAGGUCAUCAAGGUUGUAGACCAUACUACCCUUCAGCACAGUAUCUCAUGUCUUUUCCCUGCAAGAUGGUCCAGUUAUACUGUACUACUGAAUCUUCUGGAACACACAAGCAUCAAGUCUUUGUAAAUGACAUGCUCUUCCUCUGUGCAAUUCACUUUCCCUUGGCUCUACUUACAAAACACCUAUCAGUUCUUCAAGCUUCAACUAAAGUAUGUCUGCUACCAUAAAAUCUUCUCCAAUACUAUUUUCAGAUUAAAGUUCUUACUCCUCUGCAUCUUUAGAGGACUUUAUACUUCUAUUUGACAUUUAUGUUACUCUGCCUGGUCUUAUACUAAAUUUGGUGUGGACGUCGUCUAGUUAUUAGACUUCUUUCCCAGUAAUGAGCAAAGAGUAUUGUAUUUCAGCAUGAGGUUGUCUUUCUCUUCUGUUAUUUCUCCACAAGAAUCAUUCUUGUAUCCUCUGUAUUUAGAAAAGUGUAUGUAGCACAUAAUACAUGCUCAGUAAAUAUUUCUUGAAGAAAUAAUUUCCCAAUGGACUAAAUUUUUGAGGACUAAUUUGAUGAAUAUUUGAGGACAGGAAUUGUGCCUUAUUCAUAUUUCUCACAGUGACUAGAAAAAACUCAGUAACAGAAACUGUUACAGGUUGAAUAAAAUAUAUAUGCCAAAACUUAUUCCAAGAGCAGGAGACAGAAUUGUAAAUAGAUAAACCACAUAUAUGUUGAAGUGGAGGAAAUAGUUGUGUAGCUAAUAAAUCACUUUCCCUUGCCCCCCAAAAUAAAGUUUUUCCUAAUGCCUGAACUCAAUUCUCAGUUAUACAAACUUGAAACCCAAGAAUCAUCAGUGGCUUCUUCCUAUACCAUGCUUCAAGUGUUAUCUGACAAAAUGUAAAAUUGCUACCACUGGAUGAUGAUGAUGAUGAUGAUGAUAAUGACGGUGAUGGUGGUGGUGGUGGUGAUGGUGAUGAUUGCACUAUCCUUCUCCUCUUUAACUUCAACAUUAUUCUCCAAAUUCAAGUCCUCAUUUUGCCUUUUUGGAACAACUAAAAUUGCUUUCUAACAACUCUUUCCACUUUCAUGCUUUCCAUCUCUAACAUUCCCUUUCAGUACUGCCAGAAUAAUUUUCUUAAAAAGCAACAAUCUUAUUAUAUUCUAGCUCUGCUCAAAGGCCCUCCAUGGCUUUUGCACUGCAAACACAGGAAGAACACUGUUCAGACUCUUUAGUCUCAUAGUCAAGAAAUAUUCCAAAAUUGACUUCUAAUUUAUCUUUCCAGAUUCAUUUGCACUGUUCUUCCUAUUAUCCAGACUCCCACAAAAUUAGUUUUGAUUUUGUAUUUUCAAACCUUGCACUUGGUACAUUUCCAUCUAUUUUAUUCAGAUUCUGCCUAUAUCUCAAGCGCCCAAUUCAAGGAUCUUAAAUGUGUCUCUGAUUUUUCCCCUCUGCAUAUGAAAGCUCAAUAUACUUUGUGCUUUUCCCCCACUAAGCUUACCCGUUUCUGUCUCAUAUUUUGAUUAUUCACAAAUACGGCUUAUGUAUCCAACUAGAGCAUAUUUAAUCAUUGAUUCAAUAAACAUAUAAUAGGCACUUACUGUUUUUCAUUAUUCCAAAGCACCUAAAACAUAUCAUAUUCAUAGUAAAUAUUAAACAAAUUUUUGUGGGAUGAAGACAAACUCCAAAUCAACAAAAUUGCACCCAAAAUAAUAUUUUUCUAAACUCAAACAAUAAUCUCCACCAAAGAGAUACAUCAGAAUGGAAGAAAACUGUAGCACAUCAAAUUUUAAGUAUGUAUGAAAAGAGAUGGGUGUUAGUAGAAAACAGAAUCAAAUAAAAAGCUAAGAAAAUUUAUUCAAAGUAAUAUGGAAAUAUUGAACCAAUUUUGCCCAUUUCAAUUUAUAGAUGUAUCUAUCAUUUUAAGAUGCAAAUUCAUAAACACACAUGCAUUAUGUCCAUCAACUGGAAACUAUAUACAGUGUGAAAAUUUAUUGAAAUGAGAAUCACAAGGAAAUGUUUCCUAGUCACCAUUUAAUAUUUUUUGUGAAAUCUAAUAAAAGUUUAUGUGAUGAAAUCUUUUUUUUUCCUUUUCUUUCCUAAGGAAACAGCUUGAGAAGAUGAUUGAUGCCUGCUAUUAUAGGUCUAUAUUUGUAUUUCCUUAUUUUAGAAGCUUUUCAAAAAUACAUUUAAAGCAUUUCUAGUUACACUAAAAAAAAGAUAAAAGGUGAUUAUUUAUAGGCAAUCAUAUUCAGGAUGAUAGACUCUCAGAAGGCAACUGCAAACAUAAAUUUUAAAUGCUUUUUGGAAAGAGUUGAGAAUAAAAACAUUUACAUAA